AGUGAACGCUGGCGGUAGGCCUAACACAUGCAAGUCGAACGGCAGCACAGUAAGAGCUUGCUCUUACGGGUGGCGAGUGGCGGACGGGUGAGGAAUACAUCGGAAUCUACUUUUUCGUGGGGGAUCACGUAGGGAAACUUACGCUAAUACCGCAUACGACCUACGGGUGAAAGCAGGGGAUCUUCGGGCCUUGCGCGAUUGAAUGAGCCGAUGUCGGAUUAGCUAGUUGGCGGGGUAAAGGCCCACCAAGGCGGCGAUCCGUAGCUGGUCUGAGAGGAGGAUCGGCCACAUGGGAACUGAGACACGGUCCAGACUCCUGCGGGAGGCAGCAGUGGGGAAUAUGGGACAAUGGGCGCGAGCCUGAUCCAGCCAUACCGCGUGGGUGAAGAAGGCCUUCGGGUUGUAAAGCCCUUUUGUUGGGAAAGAAAAGCAGCAGGUUAAUACCCCGCUGUUCUGACGGUACCCAAAGAAUAAGCACCGGCUAACUUCGUG
rnacentral:rRNA from 1 species